rnacentral:rRNA from 1 species
GACGAACGCUGGCGGCGUGCCUAAUACAUGCAAGUUGAGCGAUGAAGAUUGGUGCUUGCACCAAUUUGAAGAGCAGCGAACGGGUGAGUAACGCGUGGGGAAUCUGCCUUUGAGCGGGGGACAACAUUUGGAAACGAAUGCUAAUACCGCAUAACAACUUUAAACAUAAGUUUUAAGUUUGAAAGAUGCAAUUGCAUCACUCAAAGAUGAUCCCGCGUUGUAUUAGCUAGUUGGUGAGGUAAAGGCUCACCAAGGCGAUGAUACAUAGCCGACCUGAGAGGGUGAUCGGCCACAUUGGGACUGAGACACGGCCCAAACUCCUACGGGAGGCAGCAGUAGGGAAUCUUCGGCAAUGGACGAAAGUCUGACCGAGCAACGCCGCGUGAGUGAAGAAGGUUUUCGGAUCGUAAAACUCUGUUGGUAGAGAAGAACGUUGGUGAGAGUGGAAAGCUCAUCAAGUGACGGUAACUACCCAGAAAGGGACGGCUAACCACGU